UCUUGCAAACUUUUCCAAAAUCUAGAAGUAAAUCUUGGAUCUCUAUCUGAUACAAUGCUCGAAGGAACACCAUGUAACUUCACAAUCUCCUUGAUAUAAAUCUCUGCCAACUGGGCAACAGGAAAACUAAUAUUAAUCAGUAGAAAAUGAGCCAACUUCGCCAAAUUGCAUCGUUCCCUCUAGGAGUAUUCGGCAAACUCGUCACAAAAUCCAUGGAUAUACUAUCCCAUUUCCAUUCUGGCACAUCUAAAGAUACCAUCAUACCAGCAGGUU
rnacentral:lncRNA from 1 species